GGCGGGACACGUGGUAUCCUGUCUGAAUAUGGGGGGACCAUCCUCCAAGGCUAAAUACUCCUGACUGACCGAUAGUGAACCAGUACCGUGAGGGAAAGGCGAAAAGAACCCCGGCGAGGGGAGUGAAAAAGAACCUGAAACCGUGUACGUACAAGCAGUGGGAGCACGCUUAGGCGUGUGACUGCGUACCUUUUGUAUAAUGGGUCAGCGACUUAUAUUCUGUAGCAAGGUUAACCGAAUAGGGGAGCCGAAGGGAAACCGAGUCUUAACUGGGCGUUAAGUUGCAGGGUAUAGACCCGAAACCCGGUGAUCUAGCCAUGGGCAGGUUGAAGGUUGGGUAACACUAACUGGAGGACCGAACCGACUAAUGUUGAAAAAUUAGCGGAUGACUUGUGGCUGGGGGUGAAAGGCCAAUCAAACCGGGAGAUAGCUGGUUCUCCCCGAAAGCUAUUUAGGUAGCGCCUCGUGAAUUCAUCUCCGGGGGUAGAGCACUGUUUCGGCAAGGGGGUCAUCCCGACUUACCAACCCGAUGCAAAC
rnacentral:rRNA from 1 species